UACAGAGGGCGCGAGCGUUGUCCGGAAUCACUGGGCGUAAAGGGCGCGUAGGCGGCGUCAUAAGGCCGCGGUGAAAGUCUGGGGCUCAACCCCAGAUCGGCCGCGGCGACUGUGUCGCUCGAGCACGGUAGAGGCAGAUGGAAUUCCCGGUGUAGCAGUGAAAUGCGUAGAGAUCGGGAGGAACAUCAGUUGCGAAGGCGGCUCUCUGGACCAGCACUGACACUGAGGCACGAAAGCGUGGGGAGCAAACAGG
rnacentral:rRNA from 1 species